GGUGCUCAGGUUCAAAAGUUAGAGCGUCCGCCUCAAAUGCGGGAGGUCGUGGUUUCGAUCCCCGGUCGAGUCAUACCA